GCCCAGAGCCUGAAUCAGUAUGUGUGUUAGUGGAAGCGUCUGGAAAGGCGCGCGAUACAGGGUGACAGCCCCGUACACAAAAAUGCACAUGCUGUGAGCUCGAUGAGUAGGGCGGGACACGUGGUAUCCUGUCUGAAUAUGGGGGGACCAUCCUCCAAGGCUAAAUACUCCUGACUGACCGAUAGUGAACCAGUACCGUGAGGGAAAGGCGAAAAGAACCCCGGCGAGGGGAGUGAAAAAGAACCUGAAACCGUGUACGUACAAGCAGUGGGAGCACGCUUAGGCGUGUGACUGCGUACCUUUUGUAUAAUGGGUCAGCGACUUAUAUUCUGUAGCAAGGUUAACCGAAUAGGGGAGCCGAAGGGAAACCGAGUCUUAACUGGGCGUUAAGUUGCAGGGUAUAGACCCGAAACCCGGUGAUCUAGCCAUGGGCAGGUUGAAGGUUGGGUAACACUAACUGGAGGACCGAACCGACUAAUGUUGAAAAAUUAGCGGAUGACUUGUGGCUGGGGGUGAAAGGCCAAUCAAACCGGGAGAUAGCUGGUUCUCCCCGAAAGCUAUUUAGGUAGCGCCUCGUGAAUUCAUCUCCGGGGGUAGAGCACUGUUUCGGCAAGGGGGUCAUCCCGACUUACCAACCCGAUGCAAACUGCGAAUACCGGAGAAUGUUAUCACGGGAGACACACGGCGGGUGCUAACGUCCGUCGUGAAGAGGGAAACAACCCAGACCGCCAGCUAAGGUCCCAAAGUCAUGGUUAAGUGGGAAACGAUGUGGGAAGGCCCAGACAGCCAGGAUGUUGGCUUAGAAGCAGCCAUCAUUUAAAGAAAGCGUAAUAGCUCACUGGUCGAGUCGGCCUGCGCGGAAGAUGUAACGGGGCUAAACCAUGCACCGAAGCUGCGGCAGCGACGCUGAUGCGUUGUUGGGUAGGGGAGCGUUCUGUAAGCCUGCGAAGGUGUGCUGUGAGGCAUGCUGGAGGUAUCAGAAGUGCGAAUGCUGACAUAAGUAACGAUAAAGCGGGUGAAAAGCCCGCUCGCCGGAAGACCAAGGGUUCCUGUCCAACGUUAAUCGGGGCAGGGUGAGUCGACCCCUAAGGCGAGGCCGAAAGGCGUAGUCGAUGGGAAACAG
rnacentral:rRNA from 1 species